GACGAACGCUGGCGGCGUGCUUAACACAUGCAAGUCGAACGGAAAGGCCCUGCUUUUGUGGGGUGCUCGAGUGGCGAACGCGUGAGUAACACGUGAGUAACCUGCCCUUGACUUUGGGAUGACUUCAGGAAACUGGGGCUAAUACCGGAUAGGAGCUCCUGCUGCAUGGUGGGGGUUGGAAAGUUUCGGCGGUUGGGGAUGGACUCGCGGCUUAUCAGCUUGUUGGUGGGGUAGUGGCUUACCAAGGCUUUGACGGGUAGCCGGCCUGAGAGGGUGACCGGCCACAUUGGGACUGAGAUACGGCCCAGACUCCUACGGGAGGCAGCAGUGGGGAAUAUUGCACAAUGGGCGGAAGCCUGAUGCAGCAACGCCGCGUGCGGGAUGACGGCCUUCGGGUUGUAAACCGCUUUCGCCUGUGACGAAGCGUGAGUGACGGUAAUGGGUAAAGAAGCACCGGCUAACUACGUG
rnacentral:rRNA from 1 species